CGUCACUUUACAUUCAGAUAUACUAGUGUAAAGUAAUGAAGUCCCAUGUGGUAAAAGCUUGUCAGAUUGCUGCACAAAGUAUGGACUGAAUUUUAGUUCUGAUGCCAGAAAAAUGCACCUCUGCUACAGAUAUAUUCAUUCACAGUGGUGAAUGAAUAUAUCUGUACCUGCCACUGCUCAAAGUCUCCAGCUCUUUCAGACAGGGAAGUUGAAAGUGUUGCAUGACUAUAACACCAAGAUAAGAGAGAGUGGAGAAUCAC